CAUUUGUUUCCCCUUCUCGAUCUUUCUCGCCCAUGGCUUUCCAACCCGUAGAAACGAACUUGCAGUGAGAGGAGAGUGGUAGCGAGGAGGAGGAGGCGGUGGGGAUGUCGAAGAGCUUGGUGCAGUCCAUUGGGCAGAAGCGGCUGACCGCCAUCGCGAUCGUCCGCCUCAAGAAGCACGGCGUCCGGUUCGAGAUCGCCUGCUACAACAACAAGGUCCUUUCCGGGCGAUCGAGGGUCAUUAGCACUUGGACGAUGUUUGCUUGGGUGCUUGAUGCAGAGAGAAGGAUUUGGAUGAAUUGCUGCAGUCGCACACUGUUUAUUCGAACGUGUCGAAAGGUUGGUUGCGGAUUUUGGCGCUAAUGACCGAUCCAAAAUAUGCCUGGAGGUAAGCUUGGUGCUUAUACUAGCUUGAGAUUGUAUCUUGUUUCCUUCUAAUCGUGUUAUAGGAAAUGCAAUUCUAAAAAAUAUCAUACUUCUGUUAGUAUAGUUUAUUUUUUGUGGUAAGUUUUCCCUUUGUUUGGUAUGAGAAAUUAUGCUUCACAAGUGAUAGAUCACUAGAUUUUUUUCUACAUGAUGGAGAUAGGCAUGCUCGAAACCCAUAAGCUCAAGAUUCAAGACAAUCCAAUGACAAAAGAAAUUUGUUUGUUCAAUUGGCUCAGUAGCUUGUCACUUCCACAUACUUUUAGCUUUACUUAAGGUAGAUAUAUCUACUGAACAACUACUUCUUUGUUCUUAAGUGAGUCCCUCUCUUUUUUAACCUUGCCUUGGCUAGAAAAUGGUACGAGUUUUAGAGGCUUGACAGUAGGGUGGUAGUAUGUUUAAUGAAGCCUUCUUGAUUUUGAAUUAUACUAUGUGGGCAACCUCACACCAAAAGGAAAAUGGUGUGGAUCAUGUUGUUUUAUUAUUUUCUUGUAUGCCUAUCUCUACCCAUAUUAUUGACAUAAGAUCUGCCUUUAUUCUAAGCUCAUUGAAAGCUAUUGACUAAAUGUUUUGGAAGGAUAGGAACCAUAUUGCAAGAUUCUUCCAUUUAGUAUUUUAAACUUUUCUUUUCUGACCUAGCUUUAGAAGUUACUAAAAGACAAAUUUCUGGGCAAGGCAUUUACAGCUUCGACCUUGUUAUUUACUACCUUUUGGUGGGUACAAGAUAAUCAACCUUCAUAAAAUAUUAAUUUCAUGUCAAAUUUGCAAAUUUCAAUUCAGUUAUCUAGAUUGUUAGCAUAGGUUUUUGCUAAUCCUAAUGGAUUCUUAGUGGAUUUCUUUAGGUGAUGGUAACUUCUCUGUGGAUUUUCUUAGGUGAUGAUAAUUUUUCUAUUUCCCAUCUGCAGAUUUCAGUUAAAUAAACAUGAUGCCUCCAAGUUUCUUGCUUCAUUUCAGCCUCAAAAUGUUUGAUGGAAAUUUCCAAUUCCAUACCUUUUAUAUGCAGGAUACUUAUUUAUGUGUAUUAACCUGAUCAGGCAUAGAAAUUCUAGCUUUUAUGAAUUGUGGCAGUUCUCACAGAGCUGUUAGGUUUCAGACAAAGGAGAGCUUCAAGUUGCUGGGAAGGAAAGAGAGUCUCAGCUAUCAAGUUGGUUCUGGGAUAUUGCAAGUUUGCAACUAUUGUAAUGCAGAAAACUAUCGAUCCAGGAACUUAACGUCCUUAUACAAUCACCAUGGUAGAAUUACUUAUGCAUGGCAUACAUAUUAUAGCAGAUUCUAAUAAAAGCUUGAAAAAACAGGCAUUAGAAGUUAUAGGGGAGCUUCAAAAGCAUUUCCCCAUGAAGAGAUCCCCUAUGCAAUUGCAGCUUAUUGUACAUGAGAAAAAUAUUCCUAUUCUCAUCAAGAAACUCAAUUGUCGUAAUGCUAAUAUUACUUCAAAGGAUGAGUCUGGUAGUCACCCACCCAUUGUAAGUCUAAGUGUUGGAGAAAUGCAAACCCAUGAUUAGGUUUGUAUUUUUCUUUACAACUAAAUUUAUUUACACCAAAUUUUCUUUGUAAAAUGGAAAGCAUAGCUCUCAUUACUAUGGGGUAUAGGAAGGGGCAACUUAUGAAGUUUUACCCUUUCAAGUUGAGAAAUUGUUGUUUUUACUUGAAUUUUGAUCAUGUAGGUUGUCAAGCACUCCUUCCCAUGCUUUUCUAGUUGUUAGACUCAUGAAUAAACUAUUGCGGUGUUAAAAUUAACCAAGAUACCGAAGAUCCGUUUGAAAGAUGACUCAUGAUAGCAACAAGUCUUAAGUUUUUCAUUGCAGCAGGAAUUCUUAUUUGUUUAGCAAUGCUGCUGCUGUCACAGUAGAUGUUGCAUUUUCCUGUUUCAUGAUGUUCAUGUUCUUCAUACAAUGAAACCCCCUUCUAUUGAAUCCCAUGUUUAAGCUGGCUCCAUUUUUUUAUUUGUUGAUAAAGUUGGUAGCAGAUUUAAUGACAAAUCCUUGAUUUGCAUGGAAAGAUAUUUCUGGGAAGUGGAAGAAUACCAUCAGACUUAUUACAAAUAGAAAUCUGUAACUGUUGCAAAAACAAUAUAAAAAAAUUUGAUCAUAUAAGUUAGGUUAAGGUUUAUAAUCAGAAGUAUAUACUAGCUAUUAGAUCUGGGAUGCUGACGAUAUAUGUUAGAUUAAUUGUGUAGUUUUGAGAUUGUUUCAAAUGAUCAGAAUAGAAUGGGCAGAUAGACAAACAUUGGUAGAUGAUGUAACAUCAGAUUUGGAAAAAUCUUAACUAGGAUGCUGCAUUCAGGCCUCAUGUUGAGUAUAGCUUACAAAGCCAACCAACAUAAUUCAGUGAAGACUUUGUUAAACUUAUUUGCGGCACAUGAUUGAGGACAACUAACUUGUAAUUGUAAUAUUCACCAAUUGUUGUGCAGGCUUGUGAGAUGGAACCAGGUCUUUCGCAUGAUUGUGAUGCUGUCAUGAGGAACUUGCAUGGGAGGUUGAAAGUACUUGGUUGUUUCAGAGCAUAUGGACUAAACUCCUUUGUGUUUUCGAAGUUUAUAUGUUUCAUGAGAACAAUUUCUUUGCUUGUAAAUAUUAUAUUGACCUACAUUGUUUCAUCAAGUGUAUAUUACAUUGCGCUUUAAUAUUGUUUUGGUGUGCUCUCUCUUUCA